ACCGGUGUGGCAUAGUGGUUUGAAUGCUGGACUACAACUCUGGAGACCAGGGUUCGAUUCCAUGCUCAGCCA